UCUCACCUUAGUGCCAUUCCAAGUUUGUAUUUUAUUAAACUAGUUACAUUUAAACAAUUGCGCUGGCUGCAAAUUGUUUGUGCGAUUCGAGCGAUAAGAGUAUUCCAAAAAACCACGCGGGUUUCUGUCAACAAAAGCGGUUUCAAACGGUUUUCCGUGUGUCACGCCCAAAAAUCAACGGCGAAAAAUUCUAGUGCGUGUCAAAAAACCAAAUACAGUGCAAUAACAACAAAGGGCAGCUAACGGUGAACCGAACGCUCAAACAAAAAGCCACAACAAAAACAACAAGCAGCCACAACAUGGAGACUUCUGCCACCACAAAGACAACCACGCUCACCACCCCCGCCAAACUGUAUGGCAAGGAUCUGAGUGAGUACGACGAUGUGGACGUGGAGAGCCUGCUGGCCCAGCUCUCGCCCGAGGAGAUAACCAUACUGGCCAAAGAGGUGGAUCCCGAUGACAACUUCCUGCCGCCAGACCAGCGCAACAGCUAUGAGUGCACCAAGGAAGCCACCGGGCCCCUCAAUCGCAAGCAGCUGAUCGAGCACAUCAACAAGCAGGCCAUCGAGACACCGGAUCAGCCGGAAUUCGAGCCGUUCGUUCAGGGCAAGGUUCGCGGAAAGAAGUGGGUCCCUCCGCCAAGGGAUGCCCGCGACAUCGAGGCCGAGGAACAGAUCGCCAUCGACAUGGGCGAGGAGUACGAGCACGCCCUCAACGAUGCCACGCAGGAGGAGAUCAUUGAUUUGGCCGCCAUCCUGGGCUUCCACUCGAUGAUGAAUCAGGACCAGUACCACGCCUCCUUGCUCAACAAGGGUCAGCCCGUGGGCCUGGGCUGGGAUGGCAUCACGAAAUCCACUCAGCAGAAGCUCUUCCCCAUGGAUCCGCCCAAUAGCACAGACGUGGAGGAGUCCAUCAAGCGGGUCAAGGACGAUGACUCCAAGCUGAUUGACCUCAACUUGAACAACAUUAAGAACAUCUCGGACGAGAAGCUCGAGCAACUGUUUGCCGCACUGCCUCAGAACGAACAUCUGGAAGUCCUCUCGCUGACAAAUGUGGGCCUCACCGACAAGACAGCCCUCCUGUUAGCCGCGGCCAUUGAGAAGAGCAAAACCCUGAGAGUAUUAAAUGUCGAGACCAACUUCAUCAGUCCGCCCGUGAUUGUUAAGCUGGUGCAAGCCCUGCUCAAGUGCCACACCAUCGAGGAGUUCAGGGCCUCCAAUCAGCGGUCUGCGGUGCUGGGCAACAAGAUCGAGAUGGAAAUCACCGACCUGGUGGAGAAGAACUCGUCGCUGCUGCGCCUUGGCUUGCACCUGGAGUUCAACGACGCCCGCCACCGAGUGGCCGCUCACCUGCAGCGCAACAUCGACAGAAUCUUCCGCGUUCAGAAAAUAAAGCCCAAUCUACCCAAGUUGAUCCUGCCGGGCAACAUGGAGAUUGAGCGGGAUCUGGUCGCCUAUAACCGAUCGGCCACGCCUUCUCCGUCGCCAUCGCCGCAGCCUCCGGCGGAUUAUGAAGUGGAAGAGGAUCCGGAUAACAUGGUUAUCCGCGGUGGCGGCGAUGCCUUCGAUCCGGAGAUCGAUCCCGACAACAUGGUGGUGCCGGGCAGUCGGUCCGUGACACCGAACUACGACGAUGAGGGUGUCUAUCAAGCGCACACUAAGAAAAGAUCUUGAGUUGCGACUGCAGUUCAGAUUUUUCAAUAAUCUGCAUAGAAAGUCGACAAGAAUUCAAUAAGCAGACCAGAAACCAAGCAACUAAACCAUUUUCAAAGCGUUUUGUAAUCUAAACCCAAAGAACCGAAGAAAAACAAGCACAUAACAACGAAAGAACGUGUAUAAUAUAAUAUAUAUAUAUAACAAGAAGAAGGAAGCAGGAGCACAAGUUUAAGCUAAAGAUAAAGCGGCCAACGAGCUUGCCAAAAAAUCUAUAUCUAUAUACUCUAGAGACUUUAACUAAGCAAAGCAAACUGAAACCAAAGAAACGAAGCGAAAUAUCAAACUAAAUACAUAUACCACAUAUAUCGAUAAAGAUCGCAGAUCGAGCAGACUCGUGAUCCAUGGAUAUAGCAUAAUACCCAUGAGCCACGAGUUAUCUUUUAAGUCGAGGCCUCUUCUAAAACUCAGCAGAAACCGUUUAGGCGCCACGUGUAUAAUUUUCUCUAACGCUUAACACAGGAAUUAAACUGCGAUGUAUGAUCUAAGUGAGUUCCCAGAUCCGAGUCAAAGUACAGCGAUAGUAGCAGAAAUCCAAGAAAUAACAAACGUAGAUUUGAGACACUUUUAUGAUUCAGUAAGAGCCACCAACUAACAGCAGAAAAUAAAGCAGCACCACCGACAAGAGGAG
rnacentral:misc_RNA from 1 species